GACGAACGCUGGCGGCGUGCCUAACACAUGCAAGUCAACUUGACUGAAGGAGCAAUCUGACAGUAGAGUGGCGCAAGGGUGCGUAACGCGUAAGUAACUUGCCCAAGGUAAGGAAUAACGUCGAGAAAUCGGCGCUAAUACCUCAUAAUGCAGCGGAUCCGCAUGGAUAUGUUGUUAAAGGUUUACCGCCUUGGGAUAGGCUUGCGUCUGAUUAGCUAGUUGGUGUGGUAACGGCACACCAAGGCUACGAUCAGUAACUGGUCUGAGAGGAUGAUCAGUCACACUGGAACUGAGACACGGUCCAGACUCCUACGGGAGGCAGCAGUGAGGAAUAUUGGGCAAUGCUCGAAAGAGUGACCCAGCAACGCCGCGUGGAGGAUGAAGGUAUUCUAUAUCGUAAACUCCUGUGAGAGCAGACGAAGACAGAUUA
rnacentral:rRNA from 1 species